GACGACGACUUUAACCUCAUUUCCCUUUCACUUGAGACAGGGUCUCUGAAUAAAUAAUUGCGUCCUCCGGGCCGAAGCUGAAGAAAAAUUUCUCGCAGCGGUGUUUUAUUUUGUUUGCUUAUUAUUUACUGAUUGUGUUUUUCUGACAAAAGAAAAGAGAAAUUAAGUGAGUUGAACGCACGUUUAAAUCUAACUUUAGGUAUGAGCAGAGGAAACCACCAAUCACGAUGACAGACGGGGAAAAAUGAAGAAAAUGACACCUGGACUCCCUCGAUAUAGCAGGCAUUAUACCAUUUUCCUUGACCUCGAUAUUCCUUUAUACAGAAUAGCUUUACGGCAUUUACAUGGCAAGACAAUUACCAUCAAAUCUCCUGCUUUAAGCUGCUGUCAUUGAAGUAAAUGGAAUUUCGGCAUAUCCGUGCGGAAGUUGAAUACCAGGAAGAGGGCCCACUUUCUCAUCGUCACGAUUGUAGAAAAAAAAAACGGAGGUAAUGCUCAAGGUUUUCACUGAAUUCUACUGUACAAUAUUUCUGUUAUUUAUGAAACUUUGGAUUUACUGGUUUUCCCUUGCAACAAUCAUGAGGAUGACCUUCUUUGAUUCGUUCGUCACAUCGGUCAUCUCCCUUUUUUUCCCUUUUUGUCUGUUGCGAUAUGCAAAAUUAUUUGAUGUCCUCAAUUCGAAGAAGCAGGUAAGUAAAAUGACUGGUAGAAAGUUUGUCAUUCUAUAUCGCUAAUGUUGCACGUACAUGCUCCUCCUAAAAAGACUUUCACUCGGUGUUGGAUGAUUUUUGCUUACCUAUGAUUUGAUUAACGCUCGCAGGACUGUAACAAUGUUCAGUGGCAAUAGCCAGUGAUUAUUAUUCAGUUAAUGGUUGAAAUAUGUUUUCUGGUAUUCAAAUUUGCAUUUCAGAAGAUGAUUUCAAAGUGGCAAAGCAUGUAUUAGAAACAUUCACUUUGAGUAUGGCUUUCUACUACCAUGUGCACCACCAAAUUUCUUAGACGAAACUUCUGUUUUAACCUUACUCGUAUUGUUGACCGCCAGAGGCUUAUCUUCUCCCGGAAUCCACACGUUAAUAAUCCCGUCUUCGCCACCUGAUACUACUUGGCCGCUAGCUGGAUUAAAGGCGGCGCCACGAAUGGUUUGUGAAUUUCCGCCUUUCUCGUCGAACAGUAUAGCAUACGGUUCCAAUGCGCCUUGACUCAUUUUUAGCAUUCUUAAGCAUCCUCUGUCAUGUAAAUUGGUUGAUGGUAAAAAUUCUUCGCAUUUUGCAAUUGCGUAGUGCAUCUUACCUGUUUGGCGUAUUUGAACCUGCAAGCAACAAAGGAUCUUGCCCUUCUCCCGUUCGAAAACACCGAAUGGCGAAACAUGUCUCUGAUUUCUUUCUCUUUUAAAAGAAAAAAAAUUACACCCUGUUCUAAUCAGUAAAAUUUUAAAUUUAGUUUAUACCCUGAGAGCAUCUGCUAUCUUUUCUCGAGUAAAGACAUGUUUUGGAGAUGCUUCUUCAACAUCCCAAAUCUGAACAUUCUCUGUACUGGUAGUGACUGCUAUGCUCUCUUGUUUUGUCUUUGUGUCAUAUCCAACCCACUGUAAUCUCCCACAUGUUGUUUCUGUAUUCAAACUAAAUUUGUGAAUAAGUUAAAAGUAAAUAAUGGAUUUUAAAUGA